GAGUGGGGUGGGUGGCGGUGGCAGAGGGUAUAGGAGGAUAAUAGUAAUGGAAAAAAUGCAAUAAAAAUAUUUUUAAAAUAAGUAAUGCUGUAAAAUGAAGCUCAAAAUUUGUACCUCCAAAUAUUUUUAAUAUGUAAUGGAGAUUCUCACUUAAACCUUGUAAAUAAUAAAUUUACAAUGAAUUUAAAAUCAAUAUAUUUUAAAUAUCAUGUUAGUAGUUAGAUUGGUGAAGACUAUUAUAGAAUAAGUACACUAAUGAGUAACAAAUCAGCCAUCUCUGUAGAUAUGUGAAUUAAGCACAGCAAAUCAAGGUAUAAAAAUAAUUUGGAUGUGUAACCAUUUCCAGGUUCAAGGACUGUGGUUCACUUAGUUUAAACACUUAUGAGGUUCACUUAAAAAUAGAUGUUUUAUUAGUAUUAGGUACCAUGUAUUGAAUAAUCAUCAUUUGCAGGUUUGGGUGAAAUUUUGCCCAAAACUUACCCCAUAUGGACCUCCCAACAACCCUUUGAAGGGUAUCACUGUUAUUCCCAUUUUACAGAUGUGGAGGUUGAGAGUUACAGAUGCUAAAGUAAGUAACAGAGUGUUAUAUUACCCUGAAAUGUCAGAACUGAGAUUCAAAACCAGGUCCAUUAGAUGACAAAGUACACAUUUAGUAAUCACUGUAUUAUACUAAUGAUCCUAAGAGUAUAAUCUUCAGACAAUGUAAAAAUGUAGGCAUCUUAACAUUUGUGAACAGGUUAAACUACAGCUUAUGGCUGUUGCUGAGUUUCGUGAGUUUUGUUCCAUAGGAAAAUACAAGCGAAUACAUACAUACGCAGUGCCUCCCUUCCCUGCCACAAAGCAUUUGCCUUUGAAGUCGCCGCUCAGCUAGUUGGGAUCUUAGAAGAGCAUUUAGCAAAAGUUAAAAUGUAAUGCCAAACUUCAUUGGCUGGAUUUUUUAUUAGAUAAGGUAGAAAUGAAAGCAGCAGGCAAUUUAAUUAGCAGUAAUUUUUCUGGGCAAGUCAUUACUUUGAUGAACUU